AGCCACAGUGUUUUGAUGCAUGCUACUUGGUUUUGUUGUUAUUAUAUUAACAUCACCGGGUAGACAUUCAUUAUACAACUGUUGUU
rnacentral:pre_miRNA from 1 species